UACGUAGGGGGCAAGCGUUGUCCGGAUUUAUUGGGCGUAAAGCGCGUGUAGGCGGCCAGGUAGGUCCGUUGUGAAAACUCGAGGCUCAACCUCGAGACGUCGACGGAAACCAUCUGGCUAGAGUCCGGAAGAGGAGAGUGGAAUUCCUGGUGUAGCGGUGAAAUGCGCAGAUAUCAGGAAGAACACCUAUGGCGAAGGCAGCUCUCUGGGACGGUACUGACGCUGAGACGCGAA
rnacentral:rRNA from 1 species